rnacentral:rRNA from 1 species
UUGAACGCUGGCGGCAUGCCUUACACAUGCAAGUCGAACGCGAAAGGGGGGCAACUCCUGAGUAGAGUGGCGCACGGGUGAGUAAUACAUCGGAACGUGUCCUGUAGCGGGGGAUAACCUAGCGAAAGCUAGGCUAAUACCGCAUACGUCCUAAGGGAGAAAGUGGGGGAUCGUAAGACCUCACACUAUAGGAGCGGCCGAUGCCGGAUUAGCUAGUUGGUGGGGUAAAAGCUCACCAAGGCGACGAUCCGUAGCUGGUCUGAGAGGAUGAUCAGCCACACUGGGACUGAGACACGGCCCAGACUCCUACGGGAGGCAGCAGUGGGGAAUUUUGGACAAUGGGGGCAACCCUGAUCCAGCCAUGCCGCGUGAGUGAAGAAGGCCUUCGGGUUGUAAAGCUCUUUCGGCCGGGACGAAAUCGCACGCGUGAAUAUCGUGUGUGGAUGACGGUACCGGCAGAAGAAGGACCGGCUAACUACGU